UACCCUACGGGGCGCAGCAGUGGGGGAUAUUGCACAAUGGGGGAAACCCUGAUGCAGCGACGCCGCGUGUAGGAAGACGGUCCUCUGGAUUGUAAACUACUGUCCCCAGGGACGAAGAUGACGGUACCUGGGGAGGAAGCUCCGGCUAACUACGUGCCAGCAGCCGCGGUAAUACGUAGGGAGCGAGCGUUGUCCGGAAUUACUGGGUGUAAAGGGAGCGUAGGCGGGGAUGCAAGUUGGGUGUUAAAUCUACCGGCUCAACUGGUAGUCGCA
rnacentral:rRNA from 1 species